rnacentral:tRNA from 1 species
GCCCUAGUAGCUUAGUCUAAAAGCAUCGGUCUUGUAAUCCGAAGAUCGGAG